AUGGAAUAUUAUGAACAAACACAUGAUGAAAAUCCCAAGGAGGAUGACGAGGAAACCCUUGGUAGGGGCAAGAGACAAAGGACUGCAAAGACCUUUGGUGAUGAUUUCUUCGUGUACCUCGUGGAUGAUACUCCCACUUCUAUUUCAGAAGCGUAUGCCUCUCCAGAAGCUGACUACUGGAAGGAUGCGGUCCAUAGCGAGAUGGAUUCCAUCAUGGCUAACGGGACAUGGGAGAUCACUGACCGUCCCUAUGGUUGCAAACCACUGGGAUGUAAGUGGGUGUUCAAAAAGAAGCUUAGGCCCGAUGGUACGAUUGAAAAGUACAAGGCUAGGCUUGUGGCCAAGGGCUAUGACCAGCAAGAAGAGGAAGAUUUCUUUGAUACUUAUUCACCUGUGGCUAGACUGACCACCAUUCGAGUAUUACUCUCGUUGGCGGCCUCACAUGGUCUUCUCGUCCAUCAGAUGGAUGUUAAGACGGCUUUUCUAAAUGGAGAGCUAAAGGAGGAAAUCUACAUGCAACAUCCUGAUGGCUUUGUGAUAGAUGGUCAGGAAAGAAAGGUGUGUAGGUUGAUAAAAUCUUUAUAUGGCCUGAAACAAGCACCUAAGCAAUGGCAUGAUAAGUUUAAUACAACUCUGACAUCUGUUGGUUUCGUUGUUAAUGAGGCUGACAAAUGUGUAUACUAUCGCCAUGGUGGGGGCGAAGGAGUUAUACUGUGCUUGUAUGUUGAUGACAUACUGAUAUUCGGAACAAACCUCAAAGUCAUUGAGGAGGUCAAAUCGUUUCUAUCUCAGAACUUUGAGAUGAAAGACCUUGGUGUGGCUGAUGUUAUCUUGAACAUCAAGCUACUGAGAGAUAAUGAGGGUGGGAUCACACUUCUGCAAUCCCAUUACGUUGAGAAGGUGUUGAGUCGUUUUGGAUAUUCGGACUGCACACCAUCUCAAACACCAUAUGAUCCUAGCGUAUUGAUUCGAAAGUCCAAAGGCAUUGCUAAAGAUCAAUUGAGAUACUCUCAAAUCAUUGGUUCACUGAUGUACCUAGCAAGCGCAACGAGGCCUGACAUCGCGUUUGCUAUGAGCAAACUGAGCCGGUUUGUUUCCAAACCGGGUGAUGUACAUUGGCAUGCUGUUGAGAGAGUUAUGCGCUAUCUGAAAGGUACUAUGAACUAUGGACUUCACUAUACCGGAUACCCGUCGGUACUUGAAGGGUAUAGUGAUGCGAAUUGGAUCUCUGAUGCUGAUGAGAUGAAGGCCACAACUGGGUAUAUGUUUACUCUUGGAGGUGGCGCUGUUUCCUGGAAGUCUUGCAAGCAAACGAUCUUAACGAGAUCGACAAUGGAAGCAGAAUUAACGGCAUUAGACACAUCUGGUGUUGAAGCGAGAUGGCUUCGAGAUCUUUUGAUGGACUUGCCAUUGGUUGAUAAACCGGUUCCGGCUAUCCUAAUGAACUGUGACAAUCAGACUGUCAUCACCAAGGUGAAGAGUUCAAAGGACAACAUGAAGUCCACCAAACACAUAAGAAUGAGAUUAAAAGUUGUCAGAAAAUUAAGAAACUCCGGAGUGAUAGCGCUGGACUAUGUCCAUACAGCUAAGAAUCUGGCAGAUCCCUUUACAAAAGGGCUAUCACGUGUUGUGAUAGAUAAUGCAUCGAGGGAGAUGGGUAUGAGACCCACAUGA
rnacentral:rRNA from 1 species